rnacentral:tRNA from 1 species
GCGGCUAUCGUUCAAUGGUAGGACAUCAGGUUGUGGUCCUGAGAAUGAGGGUUCAAUUCCCUCUAGUCGCC